rnacentral:lncRNA from 1 species
CUGUGACAUAGAGGAACAACCUAAGACAGGAGCCACAGCAGAUGGACAUAACUGCAGGGACCUAGACCAGCCUCAUACUAGUAAAACAAUAAGGGGGAGAUAUGGAGAGCCGCAAUAACAUUUGCCACCACAAGAUAGCGCUGGCUUCCACUGCGCCCACGUGGAAAGCCGAGAUAGCAUUCGCCAUUACAAGAUGGUGCUGGCUUCCGCCGCGCCAGCCCGACUUCCUUUCAGGAAGUUAACUGUGCGCAUGUGCAAGAGUGUGUUUGUGCCAGGUCUUUGCCCACUCCAGGGAGUGCCUAUGAGAUCAUGGGUAAGCAACCAAUCAGGUGUGGAUGCGCCGCGCUAGGGUGUAUAUAAGCCACGCCAUGCUGGCGCCCCGCGUCCCCUCUUUAAGAUACAAUAAACGCUUUGCUGCAGAAGGAUUUGUGUGUAUGCGCGUGCGUUCUUGCUGGCGAGAUGAUAGCGCGGGACAAAGUUUGAAUUCGGGGAAUUUUUGUAUUAGGUACAAUUUAUCAAAACUGAAUUAAGAAAAAAAUUUACAGUAUUAUUCUCAAAAUAACAUCUAUCUUUGUAAACCUCUUCAUGCUAUUAAAUUUUGCCCUAAAGGCCUCCUA